AUUUUCGUAAGGGUUAUAACACAUAGAUUUUGAGAAAAAUUCAAAAAUAUAAAAAUACUAUUUUAAUGCAUAGUUGCAUCAUUCACUAACAUAUGAUGAAGGUCAAAGUGGUUUGGAACCUUUGUUGUGUCCGUUUUUUUAGAGAAUAGCGAUUUUAUAGUGGUUUGUACACCAAUUUAGGGAGUAUUAUGAAAUUUUACUAAAUUAAUUGACGAAAAAUUAAAUCGAUGCCCAUGUACCGUGAAAGAGAAUUUAAUAUACAUUAAUACAAAUGUAGAAUGUGAUUCGAAGUUUUAAAACAACACUAAAGUUCAUAGACUUCAGUAUAUAAAGCAUUUACCGAAAAAUUCAAUAUUAUCGUAGGGUUAAGACAUAGAUUUUGAGAAAAAUUCAAAAAUAUGAAAAUAAUGUUUUAAUGCAUAGUUGCGUCCUUCAAUAACGUAUGA